rnacentral:rRNA from 1 species
UACAGAGGGUGCGAGCGUUAAUCGGAAUUACUGGGCGUAAAGCGUGCGUAGACGGUUACGUAAGUCGGGUGUGAAAGCCCCGGGCUCAACCUGGGAAUUGCAUUCGAGACUGCGCAGCUAGGGUGCGGAAGAGGGAAGCGGAAUUCCCGGUGUAGUGGUGAAAUGCGUAGAUAUCGGGAGGAACACCAGUGGCGAAGGCGGCUUCCUGGCCUGUUCUUGACGCUGAGGCGCGAAAGCUAGGGGAGCAAACGGG